UACAGAGGGUGCGAGCGUUGUCCGGAAUCACUGGGCGUAAAGGGCGCGUAGGCGGCUUGAUAAGCGUGCGGUGAAAGCCCGGGGCUCAACCCCGGGUCGGCCGUGCGAACUGUCGAGCUGGAGCACUGUAGAGGCAGAUGGAAUUCCGGGUGUAGCGGUGGAAUGCGUAGAGAUCCGGAAGAACACCGGUGGCGAAGGCGGUCUGCUGGGGUAAUGCUGACACUGAUGCGCGACAGCGUGGGGAGCAAACAGG
rnacentral:rRNA from 1 species